GAAUGAUGAAGAUUGGUCCAUGAAGGAAGUAACAUCGAGUUUGACAAAUAGGAGAUAUACAGAGAAGUGUAUAGCAUAUGCUGAGAGCCAUGAUCAGUCUAUUGUCGGUGACAAGACCAUUGCAUUUCUCCUAAUGGACAAAGAGAUGUAUUCUGGCAUGUCUUGCUUGACAGAUGCUUCUCCUGUUGUUGAUCGAGGAAUUGCGC
rnacentral:misc_RNA from 1 species